ACCCAACCCCGACCGCCAACAUCUCUCCCAGCCAUCGUGCCUCCGACCACCUCCCCCGGCCACCGUCGCGCCUCCGGCCACCUUCCCCCAGCCGUCGCGCCUCCGGCAUCCCUCUACCAGCGCCGCGCCUCCGACCUCCUUCCUCCACCAGCAUCGCGCCUCCAGCCUCCUCCCUCCACCAGCGCCGCUCCUCCAGCCACUUCCCUCCACCGCUGCCGCCCCUCUGGCCACCUUCCUCUACCACUGCCGCGCCUCUGGCCACCUCCCUCCACCGCUGUCGUGCCUCCGGCCACCUCCCUCGGCACCAUCCCGCCUCCGGCCACCUCCCUCCGCCACCGUCCCGCCUCCGGCCACCUCCCUCCACCACCAUCUCGCCUUCAGCCACCUCCCCCCGCCAUCAUCCCACCUCCAGCCACCUCCCUCCUGGCUGCACGCCCCACGAAGAAGAAGACCCACCGUUCUCUACCUACUGACGGCCGAGCACCUAGAGCCACUACAUCAACGCACACAUGUUUCAGUUUCGUUUUUAGUUCGAGGUCUACUGCCGGUCCUUUUCUUGUGUAUGUUCAGUUCGACAUCUCGUGGUUCUUCAGAUCAACAUAGUGUGCUUUUUCAAUUCAUCCCGCACGUGAAAAAAAGGAUCUCCCCUUUUAGUUCAAUAGGAUUCAAAAAAUGGUUGCUGCAUUACAGUUAGUGUUUUUUGUGUGUUGUUUGCAUGCUCUGCAGGUACUUUUUGGGCAUCAUUCGAUCUGGAUUCUGGACCAUAUUUGCUGCAGGUUGAAACCAGUGAAAAUGACUGAUGAAUAUCGACAUGAUUGAAAAUGUAGUCGAUUCUUUAGACCCUUCUAGUCCUACAUAUAGAAGUUGUGUCUGAUAGCCAUACACGAAUUUUCUCUCUGUUGUGCUUCAGUUAGAAGAUCUCUGAUGUUAUUUGCUUCAAAGUUUCUCAGCUGUUUCAGCUUCUGUUUUAACCUCUUUGUUUGUAAACUCUGUAGAUUUUUUUGCUUAAAGAUUGUCGGCAUUAUACUUGUACUGGGGCUGGACUUCAAGUAUUAAUUCCAGGCAAGUUAAAAAUAUAAACCAUAGCAAGUUCUUUGUUCAUUUAGCAAAAUAGGUCAACGAUGUCAAUUCCCUAUUUGUACCAGGGAAGUUGUCUGUGUGCACAGUGCCACUAUAUUUUGACGAGCGACUCCGUCGUCGGGUAACCGGUCACAACCGUGUGUUCUUGCUAGUGCUCAUACACGCAUGGGUAAAUAUACUAGCUGAUCCUUUGGCUGGAGAGUACUACUUGCUUGUGGCAUUGGUAGCUUGCUAAUUAAACUUUGUUGGAAGUAGUUGUACGGCCCGUCGCUCAAAAACCGCGUGUAGUCCCAGUGGGCACCCUCUGCUUCUAUUGUUUUCUUCACUAUGUGGCUCAUAAUUUGUCACUGCAGUUUGUAUAUGGGAUCCUCAACCAGGACUGCAAGCAGAGCAGUAGAGCGACAUCCUCGCCGUGUGCCAACACGGCUUUUGCCGUGGGUGCUAGUGUGGAUGAGUAACAAGUUCGACUACCAGUCCACAGCAAGUUCAGCAGUUCGACAGGGGCGCAGGGUUCAGUUCAACAACGACGAGCCAGGCAGCCGGCCUUCGCAUCAGGAACUGGUGCAGUUUGAUCUUGUGUGAAUUGGAAAUUCCCUAAUGCUGAGUGUGUCAGUACAACCAUACACUACAAGGCACGUGCACAUCAACUUCACGUGUUAGUCAACAGUAUUGUGCAUUUGCUUGGCAGCUUUGCACUGUAGUUACAUAUCACUUGCUAAAUAAAAAAUGUUAUUCACUUUUCUGUGUUUUGUUGAAUAAUUCUCAUGCUUUCUUUUGUGAGGGCUACAAAUCAUAGUGCUUAAAAUACCGAUGUGUGCGUCAUACUUGAAUUAAAAAAGUUACAUGAGGAAGUACCCCUAUUCCAUUACUUUGAGAAGUACAGGUACACAUUUCUAAAUAGUACAGUGCAUGACCGGUGCUCGCCCUGCAUAAAUGGAGCCUUCAGCUCACCAUGCUACCUCCCGCCAGUGGGGCUCCGUCGCUGCAUCGCCCCCCGCCGUUCACUACCACCAACCCAGGCCGUUCAACAAGACAGCGCCAAGCCGUUCGACGCCGCAGCUCAAGAGGCUACAUCCUUUCCCUCCCUCCACUAUGCUGAACCUAAAGACUUCUUGUUUCUCUAAAGCGGCCAAAUCCCGGUGCACCUGGUAGUUCAAACUUACACCAGAUGGCCGUUGACCAACUUCCCUGCCUCUACAAGCUCCUCGAGGAUGACUUGGUGGUAGCUGGGAUCCCCUAAAGCGGCCAAAUCCCGGUGCACCCAGCCGCCGCUCAUGAUCCCCUCUCCUUCAGCUCCACUUCGUGGCACUGUCAGUCCACAGGAGUAGGGGCAGGUGCCCAUCAACAAAAAGGAACAAGCGGUAUAUGCUUGGAAACUUAAAAUUCUGUACACAUUUGGGAAAUAGAUUUUAUAGCUUCUUUCAAAGUUCAAAACAGAUGGUACAGGAAGUACAUGUAUUCAUGUGGGUGCUUGAAAGUUCUCUACAGGAAUAGGUCGAUGAUUUUUGUGCUAUGGAUAAUAUGAUUUAUGUACAUGUAUUGUAUGUGUGGAACACAAUUUCUGUGAGAUG